rnacentral:rRNA from 1 species
UACAGAGGGGGCAAGCGUUAUUCGGAAUUAUUGGGCGUAAAGGGCGCGUAGGCGGCUUUUCAAGUGACGGGUGAAAUCCCUCGGCUUAACCGAGGAACUGCCUGUCAGACUGGAAGGCUUGAGACCGGGAGAGGUGAGUGGAAUUCCCAGUGUAGCGGUGAAAUGCGUAGAUAUUGGGAGGAACACCAGUGGCGAAGGCGGCUCACUGGACCGGAACUGACGCUGAGGCGCGAAGCGUGGGGAGCAAACAGG